AGAGUUUGAUCCUGGCUCAGGAUGAACGCUGGCGGCGUGCUUAACACAUGCAAGUCGAACGGAGUUUUAACGGAAGUUUCGGAUGGAAGUUAGAAACUAGUGGCGGACGGGUGAGUAACGCGUGGGUAACCUGCCUCAUACAGGGGGAUAACAGUUAGAAAUGACUGCUAACACCGCAUAAUAUAGCGAAACCGCAUGAUUUUGCUAUCAAAUAUUUAUAGGUAUGAGAUGGGCCCGCGUCUGAUUAGCUAGUUGGUGGGGUAAAAGCCUACCAAGGCGACGAUCAGUAGCCGGCUUGAGAGAGUGACCGGCCACAUUGGGACUGAGACACGGCCCAAACUCCUACGGGAGGCAGCAGUGGGGAAUAUUGGACAAUGGGGGAAACCCUGAUCCAGCCGACGCCGCGUGAGUGAAGAAGUAUUUCGGUAUGUAAAGCUCUAUCAGCAGGGAAGAUAAUGACAGUACCUGACUAAGAAGCCCCGGCUAACUACGUGCCAGCCGCCGC
rnacentral:rRNA from 1 species